GGGUUGUGAGGUUAAGCGACUAAGCGUACACGGUGGAUGCCCUGGCAGUCAGAGGCGAUGAAGGACGUGCUAAUCUGCGAUAAGCGUCGGUAAGGUGAUAUGAACCGUUAUAACCGGCGAUUUCCGAAUGGGGAAACCCAGUGUGUUUCGACACACUAUCAUUAAUUGAAUCCAUAGGUUAAUUAGGCGAACCGGUGCAACUGAAACAUCUAAGUACCCCGAGGAAAAGAAAUCAACCGAGCUUCCCCCAGUAGCGGCGAUCGAACUGCGAGGAGCCCAGAGCCUGGAUCAAUGCAUGUGUUAGGUGA
rnacentral:rRNA from 1 species